CCUACGGGGGGCAGCAGUGAGGAAUAUUGGUCAAUGGACGAGAGUCUGAACCAGCCAAGUAGCGUGAAGGAUGACUGCCCUAUGGGUUGUAAACUUCUUUUAUAUGGGAAUAAAAUGUUCCACGUGUGGGAUUUUGUAUGUACCAUAUGAAUAAGGAUCGGCUAACUCCGUGCCAGCAGCCGCGGUAAUACGGAGGAUCCGAGCGUUAUCCGGAUUUAUUGGGUUUAAAGGGAGCGUAGGUGGAUUGUUAAGUCAGUUGUGAAAGUUUGCGGCUCAACCGUAAAAUUGCAGUUGAAACUGGGAGUCUUGAGUACAGUAGAGGUAGGCGGAAUUCGUGGUGUAGCGGUGAAAUGCUUAGAUAUCACGAAGAACUCCGAUUGCGAAGGCAGCUCACUGGACUGCAACUGACGCUGAGGCUCGAAAGUGUGGGUAUCAAACAGGAUUAGAUACCCCUGUAGUC
rnacentral:rRNA from 1 species